rnacentral:rRNA from 1 species
GUGGGGUAACGGCCCACCAAGGCGAUGACGGGUAGCUGGUCUCAGCGGAUGAUCAGCCACACGGGGACUGAGACACGGCCCCGACUCCUACGGGAGGCAGCAGUGGGGAAUUUUGGACAAUGGGCGAAAGCCUGAUCCAGCGACGCCGCGUGCGGGAGGAAGCCCUUCGGGGUGUAAACCGCUGUCAGGGGGGAAGAACCGGCUCGGGCGAAUAGUUCGGGCAACUGACGGUACCCCCAGAGGAAGCGCCGGCUAACCCCGUGCCAGCAGCCGCGGUAAUACGGAGGGCGCAAGCGUUGUUCGGAAUUACUGGGCGUAAAGGGGGCGCAGGUGGCUUGGUAAGUCCUAUGUGAAAGCCCGCGGCUCAACCGCGGAAUUGCAUAGGAUACUGCCGAGCUUGAGACGGGUAGAGGCGAGUAGAAUUCCCGGUGUAGCGGUGGAAUGCGUAGAUAUCGGGAAGAAUACCAGUGGCGAAGGCGGCUCGCUGGGCCCGUUCUGACGCUCAGGCCCGAAAGCGUGGGGAGCAAACAGGAUUAGAUACCCUGGUAGUCCACGCCGUAAACGAUGGGCACUAGGUGCCGGGGAGUGUGACCUUUUCGGUGCCGUAGCUAACGCGUUAAGUG